rnacentral:rRNA from 1 species
AACGAACGCUGGCGGCAUGCCUAACACAUGCAAGUCGAACGAGACCUUCGGGUCUAGUGGCGCACGGGUGCGUAACGCGUGGGAAUCUACCCUUGGGUUCGGAGUAACAGUUAGAAAUGACUGCUAAUACAGGAUGAUGACGUAAGUCAAAAGAUUUAUCGCCCAAGGAUGAGCCCGCGUAAGAUUAGCUUGUUGGUGGGGUAAUGGCCUACCAAGGCGACGAUCUUUAGCUGGUCUGAGAGGAUGAUCAGCCACACUGGGACUGAGACACGGCCCAGACUCCUACGGGAGGCAGCAGUGGGGAAUAUUGGACAAUGGGCGAAAGCCUGAUCCAGCAAUGCCGCGUGAGUGAUGAAGGCCUUAGGGUUGUAAAGCUCUUUUACCAGGGAUGAUAAUGACAGUACCUGGAGAAUAAGCUCCGGCUAACUCCGUGCCAGCCGCCGCAGUAA